GGAGACGUGGCUGAGCGGCUGAAAGCGGCGGUUUGCUAAAUCGUUGUAGUUCAAAAGACUACCACAGGUUCGAAUCCUGUCGUCUCCGCCA
rnacentral:tRNA from 2 species